AGUGGCGAACGGGUGAGUAAUACAUCGGAACGUGCCCGAGAGUGGGGGAUAACGGAGCGAAAGCUUUGCUAAUACCGCAUACGAUCUACGGAUGAAAGCAGGGGACCGCAAGGCCUUGCGCUCAUGGAGCGGCCGAUGGCAGAUUAGGUAGUUGGUGGGAUAAAAGCUUACCAAGCCGACGAUCUGUAGCUGGUCUGAGAGGACGACCAGCCACACUGGGACUGAGACACGGCCCAGACUCCUACGGGAGGCAGCAGUGGGGAAUUUUGGACAAUGGGCGAAAGCCUGAUCCAGCCAUGCCGCGUGCAGGAUGAAGGCCUUCGGGUUGUAAACUGCUUUUGUACGGAACGAAAAGACUCUGGUUAAUACCUGGGGUCCAUGACGGUACCGUAAGAAUAAGCACCGGCUAACUACGUGCCAGCAGCCGCGGUAAUACGUAGGGUGCAAGCGUUAAUCGGAAUUACUGGGCGUAAAGCGUGCGCAGGCGGUUAUAUAAGACAGAUGUGAAAUCCCCGGGCUCAACCUGGGAACUGCAUUUGUGACUGUAUAGCUAGAGUACGGUAGAGGGGGAUGGAAUUCCGCGUGUAGCAGUGAAAUGCGUAGAUAU
rnacentral:rRNA from 1 species